ensembl:snRNA U6 U6 spliceosomal RNA
GUGCUCGCUUAGGCAGCACACAUACUAACACGGGAACGGUAGAGAGGAUUAGCACACCCCCUGCCCGAGGAUGACACGCAAAUUCGUGAAGUGUUCCAUGUUUUU